CCUACGGGGUGCAGCAGUGAGGAAUAUUGGUCAAUGGACGAGAGUCUGAACCAGCCAAGUAGCGUGAAGGAUGACUGCUCUAUGGGUUGUAAACUUCUUUUAUAUGGGAAUAAAAUGUUCCACGUGUGGGAUUUUGUAUGUACCAUAUGAAUAAGGAUCGGCUAACUCCGUGCCAGCAGCCGCGGUAAUACGGAGGAUCCGAGCGUUAUCCGGAUUGAUUGGGUUUAAGGGGAGCGUAGGUGGAUUGUUAAGUCAGUUGUGAAAGUUUGCGGCUCAACCGUAAAAUUGCAGUUGAAACUGGCAGUCUUGAGUACAGUAGAGGUGGGCGGAAUUCGUGGUGUAGCGGUGAAAUGCUUAGAUAUCACGAAGAACUCCGAUUGCGAAGGCAGCUCACUGGACUGCAACUGACACUGAGGCUCGAAAGUGUGGGUAUCAAACAGGAUUAGAUACCCUUGUAGUC
rnacentral:rRNA from 1 species